AGAGUUUGAUCCUGGCUCAGAACGAACGCUGGCAGCGUGGAUUAGGCAUGCAAGUCGAACGGGAUCCUGAGGCGCAAUUCUUCGGAUGAGCAAUCCAGGUGAGAGUGGCGGAAGGGCGAGUAAUGUAUGGACAAUCUACCCCUGAGGCGGGGAUAACCGCGGGAAAUCGCGGCUAAUACCGGAUGUGGCGCCGCAGCGCAUGCUGCGGAGGUUAAAGGCGGGGACCCUUCGGGGCCUGUCCUUCGGGGAGGAGUCCGUAUGCCAUCAGCUUGUUGGCGGGGUAAUGGCCCACCAAGGCUUACGGCUAGCUGGUCUGAGAGGACGACCAGCCGCACUGGGACUGAGACACUGCCCAGACUCCUACGGGAGGCUGCAGUCGAGGAUCAUUCGCAAUGCGCGAAAGCGUGACGAUGCGACGCUGCGUGGAGGAUGACGGCCUUCGGGUUGUAAACUCCUGUCAUAAGGGAAAAAGCGAACUGCGAUAACAUCAAGGCAAGCAGAUGGUACCUUAAGAGGAAGCCACGGCUAACUCUGUGCCAGCAGCCGCGGUAAUACAGAGGUGGCGAGCGUUGUUCGGAUUUACUGGGCGUAAAGGGCACGUAGGCGGUACAGUAUGUCGGGUGUGAAAUCUCCAGGCUCAACCUGGAAAGUGCGCCCGAAACUGCUGAACUUGAGUGC
rnacentral:rRNA from 1 species